GCAGUGGUGGUUCAGUGGUAGAAUUCUUCCCUUUGACACGAAAGGCCCAGGUUCAAUUCCCAGCCUUUGCA
rnacentral:tRNA from 1 species